CCAGACUCCUACGGGAGGCAGCAGUGGGGAAUAUUGCACAAUGGGGGAAACCCUGAUGCAGCGACGCCGCGUGGAGGAAGAAGGUCUUCGGAUUGUAAACUCCUGUCCUUGGGGACGAUAAUGACGGUACCCAAGGAGGAAGCACCGGCUAACUACGUGCCAGCAGCCGCGGUAAAACGUAGGGUGCAAGCGUUGUCCGGAAUUACUGGGUGUAAAGGGAGCGCAGGCGGAUUGACAAGUUGGGAGUGAAAACUACGGGCUCAACCCGUAACCUGCUUUCAAAACUGUCAGUCUUGAGUGGUGUAGAGGUAGGCGGAAUUCCCGGUGUAGCGGUGGAAUGCGUAGAUAUCGGGAGGAACACCAGUGGCGAAGGCGGCCUACUGGGCACUAACUGACGCUGAGGCUCGAAAGCAUGGGUAGCAAACAGGAUUAGAUACCCUAGUA
rnacentral:rRNA from 1 species